ACAGAGAUGACAACCGUUAUUCGGAAUCACUGGGCUUAAAGGGCACGUAGGCGGUGAGCUAAGUUGGUUGUGAAAUACCACGUUUUAAGCGUGGAACGCCAGCCAAUACUGACUUGCUUGAGGAUAGCAGAGGAGAGUGGAAUUCCUGGUGGAGCGGUGAAAUGCGUUGAUAUCAGGAGGAACAUCGGAGGCGAAGGCGACUCUCUGGGCUAUACCUGACGCUGAGGUGCGAAAGCUAGGGGAGCAAACGG
rnacentral:rRNA from 1 species